GUGUCAGCCGCCGCGGUAAUACGAAGGGGGCUAGCGUUGCUCGGAAUGACUGGGCGUAAAGGGCGCGUAGGCGGAGUGCUUUGUCAGACGUGAAAUUCCAGGGCUUAACCUUGGGGCUGCGUUUGAGACGGGCAUUCUAGAGUGAGGAAGAGGGUCGUGGAAUUCCCAGUGUAGAGGUGAAAUUCGUAGAUAUUGGGAAGAACACCGGUGGCGAAGGCGGCGACCUGGUCCUUUUACUGACGCUGAGGCGCGAAAGCGUGGGGAGCAAACAGGAUUAGAUACCCUAGUAGUCC
rnacentral:rRNA from 1 species